rnacentral:misc_RNA from 1 species
AACCAAUUGUAAAGGCGUCACCACUGUACCAAGGAAAUGGCAUUCUCAAAAUGAAGACGCGUUUGUAUUUUCAGAACACAUUUUCAAAGACGAAAACUGAACACGAAGUGUGAAGGGAAAAUGUAGGAGCAAAAUUAAGAAGUUCCAGAGCUAGAAAUUUUUCAGCAAACAGAAAUUCCCAAAAUUAUUUCUUUCCAACCAACCGACAUGAAGCAAGAAUCAGCAUACUCAACAAUACAAUUACAAAAUUAUCCAACAUAGAAACGAUGGGUGCAAAUUAUAAAAACAUUUUCCUCAUAAUGCUACUAUAAUUAGGUAUAUUGAAAUGAAUGAUGCAUUAAUGGCCAAAAUUGAAAGAGUUGCCUAUUUCCUUAUAAUUUUAAUAAACAAAUAGAAAAAUCAGGACUAAGCAACCAAAACAAAGACCCAUAAACCAAGUUCAUAUAUGGUAGUG